GGCCCCAUCCGCUGCCGCGGGGCGCGAAGGGAUGCAGGAGCCGGAGAGGGUGUAGGCAGGGAGGCCACGGUCCUGGCAGGCGACCAGGGUGCGCAGGUCCCAAACCAGCCCUCAUCUCCUGGUUGGAACGAAACACCGAUGACUGGGAACCGGCUGCUCUAGAUCCGCAGGAGUACCCGAGAGGGCUAACAGUCCAGAGAAAAAGCAGAACCAGAAAGAAGAAUGGGGAGAAGGAAGUAUUCCCGCCUAAGGAGGCACCCCGAAAGGGGAAGCGAGGCCGGAGGCCCAGCAAACCCCGACUGAUUCCUAGGCAGACGUCCGGGGGCCCCAUCUGCCCUGACUGCGGCUGUACCUUCCCUGAUCAUCAGGCCCUGGAGAGCCACAAGUGCGCCCAGAAUCUAAAAAAGCCUUACCCUUGCCCAGACUGUGGGCGCCGCUUUUCCUAUCCAUCCCUGCUGGUCAGUCACCGGCGGGCACACUCCGGCGAGUGCCCCUAUGUUUGUGACCAGUGUGGCAAACGUUUCUCCCAGCGCAAGAACCUCUCCCAGCACCAGGUCAUCCAUACAGGGGAGAAGCCCUAUCACUGCCCUGACUGUGGUCGC
rnacentral:lncRNA from 1 species